CGACCUGAGUGUCCCUGUUCACAUCAGUGUGCAGACACUGGGAUCUAAUGGACUUAGUUCAGAUAGUGUACACGCCGUGUUUCGGACCUCAGUUAGAACUGAGCCACAGUGAAGCCACCGAGACGCUCAGAUCAGCAGCACAGAAACAUCUAUAUCUGCAGGCCUCUGAGGGAGCGCCCUCACCUCCGCCUUGACUGAGACACAGUCACACUGCUGGAUAACCGCUCCACGUCAGGCUCAGGUCAACCAAUCAGAAAAAACUCCUCUCACACGGUUAUUGCCAGCCUAUGAUCAUGCGGUGACCUGUGGUCGGCCACUAAACCUCGAAAUGAUGAACUAAAGAUGUCAUACAAAAUACUGUGUAAGAUCCUUGCCUCGGCUCUGUUAAUGUGCAUGUAAAAGCAGGUCGAUCCUCGUUGGAGGACCUUUCUGUUUUACAGUCUCAUCUGCUGGACUUCUUAAACGAGCGAGACAUUGUGCUCGCCGGUCCACACGAUUGCCAGUUUUCUCAUGAAAAACUGCUAAGUGCAAAUGUUUAUGAAGCCAAGCUGAAUCAUACUGUAAAAUGCUGCCUGUGACACCAACAUUUACUAACACUGGUCAAACAAGACAUAAAAAUGACAAAGGGAUGUCUGCUUCUGCUGCACUUUUACACUGUGUUAAACACAGGGAGAUAAUGUGUCACACUGCUUGUCAUAUUACCGUCUCUGUGGACUGUGGACCUGAGCAGCUGCCUAAAGGGACAUGAAGUAUUUGAAAAGCCUUUUUGACAGCAACACACGCUGUAAAAUGUGCUGACACAACCUUGUACACAAAGUUCACAGCACUUGAUUUUUACACACGAAGCCAAAUAUUUGAAAAGAUGUUUCACUCCAAAGACUUCUCUGUUUCCUUCUCCUCAUAGGUCUACAGGACUUCUUUAAUCACAGAUGGCAGAUGUUGUUUAAGUUUGAAAAAUUUGCACACAAUCAGUAUUGAAAUCUAGAAGAAGAAAUUUUAAAGAAGAGAUUAUCACUGAUAUUUUUUUGUAAAGAUUAUAAAAAAAAAUAUGCCAAUAUACCACACACUGUAUGUCUUUUUGUAUGAGUGACACUUUCAUACCUAAUAGAUGUCAUGUUUGCACGCUUGCAUUAUUUUAUUUUUUUUAAAUUAUAACACACAUACUAUGUUCUUUUUACUAUUAACUGUAUGUACGGGUGCAGAGUGAUCAUGGUGCAGCAAAGGUAUUUUUCUAUCAGUAAUUGAUAAUAUUGUUUUCCCAUUGAUUCCUUACAGCUGUGCAGAGAAUAAAUGUUUAUAUGCAGUCUA